UCCUUAAGGCAUUUGCACGUUUGAGUGGUGUGUACGAUGGAACUUAUAUGCUGAACAAGCAAAAAUGCAACGGUGACUUAGGAUAUCUGUACCUUGAUCUGUACUGAAGAAAAGGAAAGUAUUGUAGUUGUGCUCACUUUGCAAUAAAAGGAGGUCACAGGAUUUCUCAAAUAGAAUACCAACUUUUGUGAUAGGAGGCUUGCUGUUCAAGGAGGCCAAUGUGGAAUAAUCUGAUGUUCAUGAUAUUAGAAAUGGG